rnacentral:rRNA from 1 species
UAGAUUGAUGGCGAGUGGCGAACGGGUGAGUAAUACAUCGGAACGUGCCCUGUAGUGGGGGAUAACUAGUCGAAAGAUUAGCUAAUACCGCAUACGACCUGAGGGUGAAAGUGGGGGACCGCAAGGCCUCAUGCUAUAGGAGCGGCCGAUGUCUGAUUAGCUAGUUGGUGGGGUAAAGGCCCACCAAGGCGACGAUCAGUAGCUGGUCUGAGAGGACGAUCAGCCACACUGGGACUGAGACACGGCCCAGACUCCUACGGGAGGCAGCAGUGGGGAAUUUUGGACAAUGGGCGAAAGCCUGAUCCAGCAAUGCCGCGUGUGUGAAGAAGGCCUUCGGGUUGUAAAGCACUUUUGUCCGGAAAGAAAUGGCUCUGGUUAAUACCUGGGGUCGAUGACGGUACCGGAAGAAUAAGGACCGGCUAACUACGUGCCAGCAGCCGCGGUAAUACGUAGGGUCCAAGCGUUAAUCGGAAUUACUGGGCGUAAAGCGUGCGCAGGCGGUUGUGCAAGACCGAUGUGAAAUCCCCGAGCUUAACUUGGGAAUUGCAUUGGUGACUGCACGGCUAGAGUGUGUCAGAGGGGGGUAGAAUUCCACGUGUAGCAGUGAAAUGCGUAGAGAUGUGGAGGAAUACCGAUGGCGAAGGCGGCCCCCUGGGAUAACACUGACGCUCAUGCACGAAAGCGUGGGGAGCAAACAGGAUUAGAUACCCUGGUAGUCCACGCCCUAAACGAUGUCAACUAGUUGUUGGGGAUUCAUUUCCUUAGUAACGUAGCUAACGCGUGAAGUUGACCGCCUGGGGAGUACGGUCGCAAGAUUAAAACUCAAAGGAAUUGACGGGGACCCGCACAAGCGGUGGAUGAUGUGGAUUAAUUCGAUGCAACGCGAAAAACCUUACCUA